rnacentral:rRNA from 1 species
UGGGCGUAAAGCGCGCGUAGGUGGCUAAGUCAGCCAGGUGUGAAAGCCCCGGGCUCAACCUGGGAACGGCAUCUGGAACUGCUUGGCUAGAGUGCAGGAGAGGAAGGUAGAAUUCCCGGUGUAGCGGUGAAAUGCGUAGAGAUCGGGAGGAAUACCAGUGGCGAAGGCGGCCUUCUGGACUGACACUGACACUGAGGUGCGAAAGCGUGGGUAGCAAACAGGAUUAGAUACCCUGGUAGUCCACGCCGUAAACGAUGUCAACUAGCCGUUGGGUCCCUUGAGGACUUAGUGGCGCAGCUAACGCAAUAAGUUGACCGCCUGGGGAGUACGGCCGCAAGGUUAAAACUCAAAUGAAUUGACGGGGGCCCGCACAAGCGGUGGAGCAUGUGGUUUAAUUCGAUGCAACGCGAAGAACCUUACCUACCCUUGACAUCCAGAGGACUUUCCAGAGAUGGAUUGGUGCCUUCGGGAACUCUGAGACAGGUGCUGCAUGGCUGUCGUCAGCUCGUGUUGUGAAAUGUUGGGUUAAGUCCCGUAACGAGCGCAACCCCUAUCCUUAUUUGCCAGCGAGUCAUGUCGGGAACUCUAAGGAGACUGCCGGUGACAAACCGGAGGAAGGUGGGGACGACGUCAAGUCAUCAUGGCCCUUACGGGUAGGGCUACACACGUGCUACAAUGGCAAGUACAAAGGGUUGCAAUACGGCGACGUGGAGCCAAUCCCAUAAAGCUUGCCUCAGUCCGGAUUGGAGUCUGCAACUCGACUCCAUGAAGUCGGAAUCGCUAGUAAUCGUGGAUCAGAAUGCCACGGUGAAUACGUUCCCGGGCCUUGUACACACCGCCCGUCACACCAUGGGAGUGGACUGCACCAGAAGUGGUUAGCCUAACCUUCGGAGGGCG